CUUCGGAUGAAAGUUUGGUGACUGAGUGGCGGACGGGUGAGUAACGCGUGGGUAACCUGCCCUGUACAGGGGGAUAACAGCUGGAAACGGCUGCUAAUACCGCAUAAGCGCACGAGGAGACAUCUCCUUGUGUGAAAAACUCCGGUGGUACAGGAUGGGCCCGCGUCUGAUUAGCUGGUUGGCAGGGUAACGGCCUACCAAGGCAACGAUCAGUAGCCGGUCUGAGAGGAUGAACGGCCACAUUGGAACUGAGACACGGUCCAAACUCCUACGGGAGGCAGCAGUGGGGAAUAUUGCACAAUGGGGGAAACCCUGAUGCAGCAACGCCGCGUGAGUGAAGAAGUAUUUCGGUAUGUAAAGCUCUAUCAGCAGGGAAGAUAAUGACGGUACCUGACUAAGAAGCUCCGGCUAAAUACGUGCCAGCAGCCGCGGUAAUACGUAUGGAGCAAGCGUUAUCCGGAUUUACUGGGUGUAAAGGGUGCGUAGGUGGCAGUGCAAGUCAGAUGUGAAAGGCCGGGGCUCAACCCCGGAGCUGCAUUUGAAACUGCUCGGCUAGAGUACAGGAGAGGCAGGCGGAAUUCCUAGUGUAGCGGUGAAAUGCGUAGAUAUUAGGAGGAAC
rnacentral:rRNA from 1 species